GAUGAACGCUAGCUACAGGCUUAACACAUGCAAGUCGAGGGGCAGCAUUAGGUAGCAAUACUGAGAUGGCGACCGGCGCACGGGUGCGUAACGCGUAUCCAACCUUCCCGUUACUCAUGGAUAGCCUCCCGAAAGGGAGAUUAAUACAUGAUGGUGUUGAAAUUCCGCAUGUUAUUUCAACUAAAGAUUUAUCGGUAACGGAUGGGGAUGCGUGACAUUAGAUAGUAGGCGGGGUAACGGCCCACCUAGUCUACGAUGUCUAGGGGUUCUGAGAGGAAGGUCCCCCACACUGGAACUGAGACACGGUCCAGACUCCUACGGGAGGCAGCAGUGAGGAAUAUUGGUCAAUGGCCGGAAGGCUGAACCAGCCAAGUAGCGUGAAGGAUGAAGGUUCUAUGGAUUGUAAACUUCUUUUAUACGGGAAUAAAACCUCCCACGUGUGGGAGCUUGUAUGUACCGUAUGAAUAAGCAUCGGCUAACUCCGUGCCAGCCGCCGCGGUAACAC
rnacentral:rRNA from 1 species